GCCGGACCUUUCUUCUAAAGAUAUUGCCGUCAUGAAGAGGCGGAUUGCAAAUGUUCUUGAACCUGGGGAAACGGUAUUGCAAGCCUUGAGAAGGCUAAAAGGUAACAGUGACAGAAAGGCAAAAAUGUCUGCUGAGACUAAGGUUGUAUUUGACCAGCUAACUGAGGAUGCUAUGAAGCUGAUGGAGAAUGGUGAAUACAAUGUUUAUCAUGAAAAGCGAGAGGUUUUUGAUCGUGAAGCGGG